CCUACGGGAGGCAGCAGUGGGGAAUAUUGCGCAAUGGGCGAAAGCCUGACGCAGCGACGCCGCGUGAGGGAUGAAGGUCUUCGGAUCGUAAACCUCUGUCAGCAGGGAAGAACGGUCACUGUGCUAAUCAGCAGUGAAUUGACGGUACCUGCAAAGGAAGCACCGGCUAACUCCGUGCCAGCAGCCGCGGUAAUACGGAGGGUGCGAGCGUUAAUCGGAAUUACUGGGCGUAAGGGGCUCGUAGGCGGUAUGUCAAGUCAAGGGUGAAAUCCCCGCGCUCAACGUGGGAACUGCCUUUGAAACUGGCAAACUGGAGUGUGUGAGAGGAUAGGGGAAUGCCAGGUGUAGGAGUGAAAGCCGUAGAUAUCUGGAGGAACAUCAGUGGCGAAGGCGACUAUCUGGCACAUAACUGACGCUGAGGAGCGAAAGCGUGGGUAGCAAACAGGAUUAGAUACCCUUGUAGUC
rnacentral:rRNA from 1 species